rfam:Oryza glumipatula chromosome 7, whole genome shotgun sequence.
AAAAAAAACAAACCGUGGUUUCCGUGCUCAAUAUUUGACUGUUCGUUUUAUUUAAAAAAAUUAUGAAAAAAAUUAAAAAGACAAGUCACGUAUAAAAUAUUAAUCAUGUUUUAUCAUCUAACAAUAAUGAAAAUAUGAAUUAUAAAAAAUUUUUAUAUACGAUAAACAGUUAAAGUUGGACACGGAAACUCAAGGUUUGACUUUUU